ACUAUUUUAUGUCAUCUAAAUACAAAAAAAAAAAACCACAGGAAUUUCAAGUCAUUAAAAAAUUAAAAACAAGGGAGGGUUGAAAAGGACCUGAAUAUACUGAAUUAAACAACUAAUUUAGAAGUGUGGUGUAGAUCAGUGUACUAAAACACCUCAAGGGCUCCCCUGAACAGUUUAGUGUUACUUGUUUGUUUUUAAGUAAACUAGUGGGGAGGAUGAGUUUCUGGCCUGAAACCCACUGUAAACAUGAAGAUGUGUUGGACUGCGGCAGAGUGAACACCCAGGGUCGGGCAAAACUUCUUGGGAGUUGGCCCCACCGAAGUCACUAAGUCAUCUGGGAACUGGUGAGGAUCCCCAGGAAAU